rnacentral:rRNA from 1 species
UACAGAGACUGCAAGCGUUAUUCGGAUUCACUGGGCGUAAAGGGUGCGCAGGCGGCCGUGUGUGUCAGGUGUGAAAGCCCGGAGCUUAACUCCGGAAUUGCGCCUGAAACUACAUGGCUAGAGCAUUGGAGAGGGUAGCGGAAUUCACGGUGUAGCAGUGAAAUGCGUAGAUAUCGUGAGGAACACCAGAGGCGAAGGCGGCUACCUGGACAAUUGCUGACACUCAGGCACGAAAGCGUGGGGAGCAAAAGGG